AGUGGCGGACGGGUGAGUAAUGUCUGGGAAACUGCCUGAUGGAGGGGGAUAACUACUGGAAACGGUAGCUAAUACCGCAUAACGUCGCAAGACCAAAGAGGGGGACCUUCGGGCCUCUUGCCAUCAGAUGUGCCCAGAUGGGAUUAGCUAGUAGGUGGGGUAACGGCUCACCUAGGCGACGAUCCCUAGCUGGUCUGAGAGGAUGACCAGCCACACUGGAACUGAGACACGGUCCAGACUCCUACGGGAGGCAGCAGUGGGGAAUAUUGCACAAUGGGCGCAAGCCUGAUGCAGCCAUGCCGCGUGUAUGAAGAAGGCCUUCGGGUUGUAAAGUACUUUCAGCGGGGAGGAAGGGAGUAAAGUUAAUACCUUUGCUCAUUGACGUUACCCGCAGAAGAAGCACCGGCUAACUCCGUGCCAGCAGCCGCGGUAAUAUGGAGGGUGCAAGCGUUAAUCGGAAUUACUGGGCGUAAAGCGCACGCAGGCGGUUUGUUAAGUCAGAUGUGAAAUCCCCGGGCUCAACCUGGGAACUGCAUCUGAUACUGGCAAG
rnacentral:rRNA from 1 species